AUUGUGUCAGCCGCCGCGCGGUAAUACUCGCGGUCCAAGUCGCAGCCAUAUUUAUUGGGUCUAAAACAUCCGUAGCUUGUUUAGUAAGUUUCUUGUGAAAUCUUAUAUCUCAAGUAUAAGGCGUGCAAGAAGUACUACUGAACUAGAGACUGGAAGACAUAGGAAGUACGACCAAAGUAGCGGUAAAAUGCGUUGAUCUUGGUUGGACUCACAACAGCGAAGGCAUCCUAUGAGUACAGUUCUGACAGUAAGGGAUGAAGGCUAGGGGCGCAAAACGGAUUAGAUACCCGUGUAGUCCUAGCAGUAAACACUGCACACUAAACAUUGGGACCUCCUCGAGAGGCUUCAGUGCUGUAGCGAAGGCGAAGAGUGUGCUACCUGGGAAGUAUAGUCGCAAGGCCGAAACUUAAAGGAAUUGGCGGGGAGACACUACAACGGGUGACGCGUGCGGUUCAAUUAGAUUCUACACCGUGAACCUCACCAGGAGCGACAGCAGAAUGAAGGUCAGUCUAAAGGGCUUACCUGACACGCUGAGAGGAGUUGCAUGGCCGACGUCAGCCUGUGCCGUGAGGUGACCUGUUAAAUCAGGUAACAGGCAAGACCCGCGUGCAUAUUUACUAUGUGUACAAUAUGCAGAUUGCCAUGGUAACAUGGAUGAAAGUGCGGGCUAAAU
rnacentral:rRNA from 1 species